AACGAACGCUGGCGGCAUGCCUAACACAUGCAAGUCGAACGAAGCCUUCGGGCUUAGUGGCGCACGGGUGCGUAACGCGUGGGAAUCUGCCCUUGGGUUCGGAAUAACAGUUAGAAAUGACUGCUAAUACCGGAUGAUGUCUUCGGACCAAAGAUUUAUCGCCCAAGGAUGAGCCCGCGUAGGAUUAGGUAGUUGGUGGGGUAAUGGCCCACCAAGCCGACGAUCCUUAGCUGGUCUGAGAGGAUGAUCAGCCACACUGGGACUGAGACACGGCCCAGACUCCUACGGGAGGCAGCAGUGGGGAAUAUUGGACAAUGGGCGAAAGCCUGAUCCAGCAAUGCCGCGUGAGUGAUGAAGGCCUUAGGUUGUAAAGCUCUUUUACCAGGGAUGAUAAUGACAGUACCUGGAGAAUAAGCUCCGGCUAACUCCGUG
rnacentral:rRNA from 1 species